GAUGUGGUCCAUUGGCUGUGAGAUUGAAUCGGACGGUUAUCAGACGAUGUCGUGGAGGAUUGACUGAGAUAUGAGAACCGUCGGAUUAAGCUGCUAAAUAUAGAUAGACAGGGUCCAUGUCAAGACGUAAUGGGAAGGGGACCUCAUUGCCAAAAAUAGAAAGAUGGGGGCUAUCUUCGAAUAAGUCACGUCUCGGGUUUAUUGAGUGGGGUUUUAAGCUUUGGGGACCAGCCUCUCUUUAUUUUUCUUUUUUCACCAACAGGCUGCGAUAUAUAGUAAGUUACUGUAGUCCUCGACUCAUAGUCAUCAUGCAUCAAAUAAAAGGUUUCAGCUUCCAAGAAAAAUGGUUCACACUAAUGUACAUGUUAUUCACAAUCUCAUAUCACAUUAUCACUAACAAAGUUAUAUUAACGAAUGAAUAUUGAUUUCUCUUUUUUAUAUUGCUUUGUUUCUUGCAUCCACUAUUAAGUUUCAGAUUAAAAAAUCCCAUUAAACAUGUUGGCAUUAAUGUAGUGAUUAAAGACAUCGAAGAUAUAAUUCAUCGAUCCUUGUGAAACCUAAGAAACUCUACAAGCUUGUCUUUGUAUUAUACGAGGAGGAUAUGAAGUCACGUAUGAAUGCAAGACAUGUGAGUAUUUCGGCUGACAGAAAAAAACAUACUAAAUAUUUCCCAAGAAAAAUAAACAUACUAAAUAUUUUCCCAAUUAUUAGUACUUAUUAGAACUGGUCUUUGGCUAAAGCUGAUCAAACAAUAUUUAAACGAAGUAAUAUAUUAAAGUCUAUUAACUAAUAAUUUAGAUGUCAUACCUUUGAUGUUGAUUACUAUAAGUCAAU
rnacentral:lncRNA from 1 species